rnacentral:rRNA from 1 species
GCCAAAAAUCUAGCCCUCAAACUGCCCCCGACCCCAACACCUUGUAUUUACCAAUCAAAACAUUCAUUAAAUUUAGUAAAGGCGAUUAAAAAAUUAAUUGGCGCGAUAUAUUUAGUACCGCAAGGGAAAGAUGAAAUAAAAUGAAAAACUUCAAGCACAUAAAAGCAGAGACUUUACCUCGUACCUUUUGCAUCAUGGUUUAACUAGUCUAAUCAAGCGAAAAGAUUUAAAGUUUGACCUCCCGAAACUAAGCGAGCUACUUCAAGGCAGCCUAACGGGCGACCCCGUCUCUGUUGCAAAAGAGUGGAAAGACCUUCAAGUAGAAGUGACAGACCUAU